CAAGUACCCUCCGUCCAAAAAAAGAUGUUUCAAAUUUGUCAAAAUUUAAAUGUAUCUAGACAUGACUUAGUGUAUAAAUGUAUUCAAAUUUAGUCAAAGUUGAGACAUCCUUCGUUAGACGGAGGGAGUACUAG
rnacentral:pre_miRNA from 1 species